rnacentral:lncRNA from 1 species
CUUUUUGCCUCCCUCACAAAGGCGGCGGAAGGUGAUCGAAUUCCGGUGAUGCGAGUUGUUCUCCGUCUAUAAAUACGCCUCGCCCGAGCUGUGCGGUAGGCAUUGAGGCAGCCAGCGCAGGGGCUUCUGCUGAGGGGGCAGGCGGAGCUUGAGGAAACCGCAGAUAAGUUUUUUUCUCUUUGAAAGAUAGAGAUUAAUACAACUACUUAAAAAAUAUAGUCAAUAGGUUACUAAGAUAUUGCUUAGCGUUAAGUUUUUAACGUAAUUUUAAUAGCUUAAGAUUUUAAGAGAAAAUAUGAAGACUUAGAAGAGUAGCAUGAGGAAGGAAAAGAUAAAAGGUUUCUAAAACAUGACGGAGGUUGAGAUGAAGCUUCUUCAUGGAGUAAAAAAUGUAUUUAAAAGAAAAUUGAGAGAAAGGACUACAGAGCCCCGAAUUAAUACCAAUAGAAGGGCAAUGCUUUUAGAUUAAAAUGAAGGUGACUUAAACAGCUUAAAGUUUAGUUUAAAAGUUGUAGGUGAUUAAAAUAAUUUGAAGGCGAUCUUUUAAAAAGAGAUUAAACCGAAGGUGAUUAAAAGACCUUGAAAUCCAUGACGCAGGGAGAAUUGCGUCAUUUAAAGCCUAGUUAACGCAUUUACUAAACGCAGACGAAAAUGGAAAGAUUAAUUGGGAGUGGUAGGAUGAAACAAUUUGGAGAAGAUAGAAGUUUGAAGUGGAAAACUGGAAGACAGAAGUACGGGAAGGCGAAGAAAAGAAUAGAGAAGAUAGGGAAAUUAGAAGAUAAAAACAUACUUUUAGAAGAAAAAAGAUAAAUUUAAACCUGAAAAGUAGGAAGCAGAAGAAAAAAGACAAGCUAGGAAACAAAAAGCUAAGGGCAAAAUGUACAAACUUAGAAGAAAAUUGGAAGAUAGAAACAAGAUAGAAAAUGAAAAUAUUGUCAAGAGUUUCAGAUAGAAAAUGAAAAACAAGCUAAGACAAGUAUUGGAGAAGUAUAGAAGAUAGAAAAAUAUAAAGCCAAAAAUUGGAUAAAAUAGCACUGAAAAAAUGAGGAAAUUAUUGGUAACCAAUUUAUUUUAAAAGCCCAUCAAUUUAAUUUCUGGUGGUGCAGAAGUUAGAAGGUAAAGCUUGAGAAGAUGAGGGUGUUUACGUAGACCAGAACCAAUUUAGAAGAAUACUUGAAGCUAGAAGGGGAAGUUGGUUAAAAAUCACAUCAAAAAGCUACUAAAAGGACUGGUGUAAUUUAAAAAAAACUAAGGCAGAAGGCUUUUGGAAGAGUUAGAAGAAUUUGGAAGGCCUUAAAUAUAGUAGCUUAGUUUGAAAAAUGUGAAGGACUUUCGUAACGGAAGUAAUUCAAGAUCAAGAGUAAUUACCAACUUAAUGUUUUUGCAUUGGACUUUGAGUUAAGAUUAUUUUUUAAAUCCUGAGGACUAGCAUUAAUUGACAGCUGACCCAGGUGCUACACAGAAGUGGAUUCAGUGAAUCUAGGAAGACAGCAGCAGACAGGAUUCCAGGAACCAGUGUUUGAUGAAGCUAGGACUGAGGAGCAAGCGAGCAAGCAGCAGUUCGUGGUGAAGAUAGGAAAAGAGUCCAGGAGCCAGUGCGAUUUGGUGAAGGAAGCUAGGAAGAAGGAAGGAGCGCUAACGAUUUGGUGGUGAAGCUAGGAAAAAGGAUUCCAGGAAGGAGCGAGUGCAAUUUGGUGAUGAAGGUAGCAGGCGGCUUGGCUUGGCAACCACACGGAGGAGGCGAGCAGGCGUUGUGCGUAGAGGAUCCUAGACCAGCAUGCCAGUGUGCCAAGGCCACAGGGAAAGCGAGUGGUUGGUAAAAAUCCGUGAGGUCGGCAAUAUGUUGUUUUUCUGGAACUUACUUAUGGUAACCUUUUAUUUAUUUUCUAAUAUAAUGGGGGAGUUUCGUACUGAGGUGUAAAGGGAUUUAUAUGGGGACGUAGGCCGAUUUCCGGGUGUUGUAGGUUUCUCUUUUUCAGGCUUAUACUCAUGAAUCUUGUCUGAAGCUUUUGAGGGCAGACUGCCAAGUCCUGGAGAAAUAGUAGAUGGCAAGUUUGUGGGUUUUUUUUUUUUACACGAAUUUGAGGAAAACCAAAUGAAUUUGAUAGCCAAAUUGAGACAAUUUCAGCAAAUCUGUAAGCAGUUUGUAUGUUUAGUUGGGGUAAUGAAGUAUUUCAGUUUUGUGAAUAGAUGACCUGUUUUUACUUCCUCACCCUGAAUUCGUUUUGUAAAUGUAGAGUUUGGAUGUGUAACUGAGGCGGGGGGGAGUUUUCAGUAUUUUUUUUUGUGGGGGUGGGGGCAAAAUAUGUUUUCAGUUCUUUUUCCCUUAGGUCUGUCUAGAAUCCUAAAGGCAAAUGACUCAAGGUGUAACAGAAAACAAGAAAAUCCAAUAUCAGGAUAAUCAGACCACCACAGGUUUACAGUUUAUAGAAACUAGAGCAGUUCUCACGUUGAGGUCUGUGGAAGAGAUGUCCAUUGGAGAAAUGGCUGGUAGUUACUCUUUUUUCCCCCCACCCCCUUAAUCAGACUUUAAAAGUGCUUAACCCCUUAAACUUGUUAUUUUUUACUUGAAGCAUUUUGGGAUGGUCUUAACAGGGAAGAGAGAGGGUGGGGGAGAAAAUGUUUUUUUCUAAGAUUUUCCACAGAUGCUAUAGUACUAUUGACAAACUGGGUUAGAGAAGGAGUGUACCGCUGUGCUGUUGGCACGAACACCUUCAGGGACUGGAGCUGCUUUUAUCCUUGGAAGAGUAUUCCCAGUUGAAGCUGAAAAGUACAGCACAGUGCAGCUUUGGUUCAUAUUCAGUCAUCUCAGGAGAACUUCAGAAGAGCUUGAGUAGGCCAAAUGUUGAAGUUAAGUUUUCCAAUAAUGUGACUUCUUAAAAGUUUUAUUAAAGGGGAGGGGCAAAUAUUGGCAAUUAGUUGGCAGUGGCCUGUUACGGUUGGGAUUGGUGGGGUGGGUUUAGGUAAUUGUUUAGUUUAUGAUUGCAGAUAAACUCAUGCCAGAGAACUUAAAGUCUUAGAAUGGAAAAAGUAAAGAAAUAUCAACUUCCAAGUUGGCAAGUAACUCCCAAUGAUUUAGUUUUUUUCCCCCCAGUUUGAAUUGGGAAGCUGGGGGAAGUUAAAUAUGAGCCACUGGGUGUACCAGUGCAUUAAUUUGGGCAAGGAAAGUGUCAUAAUUUGAUACUGUAUCUGUUUUCCUUCAAAGUAUAGAGCUUUUGGGGAAGGAAAGUAUUGAACUGGGGGUUGGUCUGGCCUACUGGGCUGACAUUAACUACAAUUAUGGGAAAUGCAAAAGUUGUUUGGAUAUGGUAGUGUGUGGUUCUCUUUUGGAAUUUUUUUCAGGUGAUUUAAUAAUAAUUUAAAACUACUAUAGAAACUGCAGAGCAAAGGAAGUGGCUUAAUGAUCCUGAAGGGAUUUCUUCUGAUGGUAGCUUUUGUAUUAUCAAACUUUUUUCAGAUAACAUCUUCUGAGUCAUAACCAGCCUGGCAGUAUGAUGGCCUAGAUGCAGAGAAAACAGCUCCUUGGUGAAUUGAUAAGUAAAGGCAGAAAAGAUUAUAUGUCAUACCUCCAUUGGGGAAUAAGCAUAACCCUGAGAUUCUUACUACUGAUGAGAACAUUAUCUGCAUAUGCCAAAAAAUUUUAAGCAAAUGAAAGCUACCAAUUUAAAGUUACGGAAUCUACCAUUUUAAAGUUAAUUGCUUGUCAAGCUAUAACCACAAAAAUAAUGAAUUGAUGAGAAAUACAAUGAAGAGGCAAUGUCCAUCUCAAAAUACUGCUUUUACAAAAGCAGAAUAAAAGCGAAAAGAAAUGAAAAUGUUACACUACAUUAAUCCUGGAAUAAAAGAAGCCGAAAUAAAUGAGAGAUGAGUUGGGAUCAAGUGGAUUGAGGAGGCUGUGCUGUGUGCCAAUGUUUCGUUUGCCUCAGACAGGUAUCUCUUCGUUAUCAGAAGAGUUGCUUCAUUUCAUCUGGGAGCAGAAAACAGCAGGCAGCUGUUAACAGAUAAGUUUAACUUGCAUCUGCAGUAUUGCAUGUUAGGGAUAAGUGCUUAUUUUUAAGAGCUGUGGAGUUCUUAAAUAUCAACCAUGGCACUUUCUCCUGACCCCUUCCCUAGGGGAUUUCAGGAUUGAGAAAUUUUUCCAUCGAGCCUUUUUAAAAUUGUAGGACUUGUUCCUGUGGGCUUCAGUGAUGGGAUAGUACACUUCACUCAGAGGCAUUUGCAUCUUUAAAUAAUUUCUUAAAAGCCUCUAAAGUGAUCAGUGCCUUGAUGCCAACUAAGGAAAUUUGUUUAGCAUUGAAUCUCUGAAGGCUCUAUGAAAGGAAUAGCAUGAUGUGCUGUUAGAAUCAGAUGUUACUGCUAAAAUUUACAUGUUGUGAUGUAAAUUGUGUAGAAAACCAUUAAAUCAUUCAAAAUAAUAAACUAUUUUUAUUAGAGAAUGUAUACUUUUAGAAAGCUGUCUCCUUAUUUAAAUAAAAUAGUGUUUGUCUGUAGUUCAGUGUUGGGGCAAUCUUGGGGGGGAUUCUUCUCUAAUCUUUCAGAAACUUUGUCUGCGAACACUCUUUAAUGGACCAGAUCAGGAUUUGAGCGGAAGAACGAAUGUAACUUUAAGGCAGGAAAGACAAAUUUUAUUCUUCAUAAAGUGAUGAGCAUAUAAUAAUUCCAGGCACAUGGCAAUAGAGGCCCUCUAAAUAAGGAAUAAAUAACCUCUUAGACAGGUGGGAGAUUAUGAUCAGAGUAAAAGGUAAUUACACAUUUUAUUUCCAGAAAGUCAGGGGUCUAUAAAUUGACAGUGAUUAGAGUAAUACUUUUUCACAUUUCCAAAGUUUGCAUGUUAACUUUAAAUGCUUACAAUCUUAGAGUGGUAGGCAAUGUUUUACACUAUUGACCUUAUAUAGGGAAGGGAGGGGGUGCCUGUGGGGUUUUAAAGAAUUUUCCUUUGCAGAGGCAUUUCAUCCUUCAUGAAGCCAUUCAGGAUUUUGAAUUGCAUAUGAGUGCUUGGCUCUUCCUUCUGUUCUAACUUCACAGAGAAUGCAGUUGUCUUGACUUCAGGUCUGUCUGUUCUGUUGGCAAGUAAAUGCAGUACUGUUCUGAUCCCGCUGCUAUUAGAAUGCAUUGUGAAACGACUGGAGUAUGAUUAAAAGUUGUGUUCCCCAAUGCUUGGAGUAGUGAUUGUUGAAGGAAAAAAUCCAGCUGAGUGAUAAAGGCUGAGUGUUGAGGAAAUUUCUGCAGUUUUAAGCAGUCGUAUUUGUGAUUGAAGCUGAGUACAUUUUGCUGGUGUAUUUUUAGGAACACUCAGCAGACACACGUAUGCGAAGGGCCAGAGAAGCCAGACCCAGUAAGAAAAAAUAGCCUAUUUACUUUAAAUAAACCAAACAUUCCAUUUUAAAUGUGGGGAUUGGGAACCACUAGUUCUUUCAGAUGGUAUUCUUCAGACUAUAGAAGGAGCUUCCAGUUGAAUUCACCAGUGGACAAAAUGAGGAAAACAGGUGAACAAGCUUUUUCUGUAUUUACAUACAAAGUCAGAUCAGUUAUGGGACAAUAGUAUUGAAUAGAUUUCAGCUUUAUGCUGGAGUAACUGGCAUGUGAGCAAACUGUGUUGGCGUGGGGGUGGAGGGGUGAGGUGGGCGCUAAGCCUUUUUUUAAGAUUUUUCAGGUACCCCUCACUAAAGGCACCGAAGGCUUAAAGUAGGACAACCAUGGAGCCUUCCUGUGGCAGGAGAGACAACAAAGCGCUAUUAUCCUAAGGUCAAGAGAAGUGUCAGCCUCACCUGAUUUUUAUUAGUAAUGAGGACUUGCCUCAACUCCCUCUUUCUGGAGUGAAGCAUCCGAAGGAAUGCUUGAAGUACCCCUGGGCUUCUCUUAACAUUUAAGCAAGCUGUUUUUAUAGCAGCUCUUAAUAAUAAAGCCCAAAUCUCAAGCGGUGCUUGAAGGGGAGGGAAAGGGGGAAAGCGGGCAACCACUUUUCCCUAGCUUUUCCAGAAGCCUGUUAAAAGCAAGGUCUCCCCACAAGCAACUUCUCUGCCACAUCGCCACCCCGUGCCUUUUGAUCUAGCACAGACCCUUCACCCCUCACCUCGAUGCAGCCAGUAGCUUGGAUCCUUGUGGGCAUGAUCCAUAAUCGGUUUCAAGGUAACGAUGGUGUCGAGGUCUUUGGUGGGUUGAACUAUGUUAGAAAAGGCCAUUAAUUUGCCUGCAAAUUGUUAACAGAAGGGUAUUAAAACCACAGCUAAGUAGCUCUAUUAUAAUACUUAUCCAGUGACUAAAACCAACUUAAACCAGUAAGUGGAGAAAUAACAUGUUCAAGAACUGUAAUGCUGGGUGGGAACAUGUAACUUGUAGACUGGAGAAGAUAGGCAUUUGAGUGGCUGAGAGGGCUUUUGGGUGGGAAUGCAAAAAUUCUCUGCUAAGACUUUUUCAGGUGAACAUAACAGACUUGGCCAAGCUAGCAUCUUAGCGGAAGCUGAUCUCCAAUGCUCUUCAGUAGGGUCAUGAAGGUUUUUCUUUUCCUGAGAAAACAACACGUAUUGUUUUCUCAGGUUUUGCUUUUUGGCCUUUUUCUAGCUUAAAAAAAAAAAAAGCAAAAGAUGCUGGUGGUUGGCACUCCUGGUUUCCAGGACGGGGUUCAAAUCCCUGCGGCGUCUUUGCUUUGACUACUAAUCUGUCUUCAGGACUCUUUCUGUAUUUCUCCUUUUCUCUGCAGGUGCUAGUUCUUGGAGUUUUGGGGAGGUGGGAGGUAACAGCACAAUAUCUUUGAACUAUAUACAUCCUUGAUGUAUAAUUUGUCAGGAGCUUGACUUGAUUGUAUAUUCAUAUUUACACGAGAACCUAAUAUAACUGCCUUGUCUUUUUCAGGUAAUAGCCUGCAGCUGGUGUUUUGAGAAGCCCUACUGCUGAAAACUUAACAAUUUUGUGUAAUAAAAAUGGAGAAGCUCU